rnacentral:rRNA from 1 species
GAGUGAACGCUGGCGGUAGGCCUAACACAUGCAAGUCGAACGGCAGCACAGUAAGAGCUUGCUCUUACGGGUGGCGAGUGGCGGACGGGUGAGGAAUACAUCGGAAUCUACUUUUUCGUGGGGGAUAACGUAGGGAAACUUACGCUAAUACCGCAUACGACCUACGGGUGAACGCAGGGGAUCUUCGGACCUUGCGCGAUUGAAUGAGCCGAUGUCGGAUUAGCUAGUUGGCGGGGUAAAGGCCCACCAAGGCGAAGAUCCGUAGCUGGUCUGAGAGGAUGAUCAGCCACACUGGAACUGAGACACGGUCCAGACUCCUACGGGAGGCAGCAGUGGGGAAUAUUGGACAAAGGGCGCAAGCCUGAUCCAGCCAUACCGCGUGGGUGAAGAAGGCCUUCGGGUUGUAAAGCCCUUUUGUUGGGAAAGAAAAGCAGCAGGUUAAUACCCCGCUGUUCUGACGGUACCCAAAGAAUAAGCACCGGCUAACUUCGUG